AUUCCAGCUCCAAGAGCGUAUAUUAAAGUUGUUGCAGUUAAAAAGCUCGUAGUUGGAUUUCUGGUACAACGCGCCUGGCCCGCUUAUGUGAGUGCCGGUGCGCGUUUGCCAUCCUUCUAGAAAACGUUUCUACCCGGGCAACUGGGCCGGACUCGCGAUCUAGAUCUUUUACUUUGAAAAAAUUAGAGUGUUUAAAGCAGGCUUUUGCUGUGAAUACAUUAGCAUGGAAUAAUAAUCUAGGACUUCGGUUCUAUUUUGUUGGUUUCUAGUACUGAAGUAAUGAUUGAUAGGGAUAGUUGGGGGUGCUAGUAUUGGCCGGCCAGAGGUGAAAUUCUUGGAUUCGGUCAAGACUAACUUAUGCGAAAGCAUUCACCAAGGAUGUCUUCAUUG
rnacentral:rRNA from 1 species